CAGCUACACACCGUCCUCUCCACCGGAUCCACCGGUCCGCAGGUCCGCAGCCAGCCUGUCUGUCUGCCUGCCCCACCUGUCACCUUGCUUGCCUUGCCUUCAGUGCCUUCAGUGCCUUCAGUGCCUUCCCGGCUUUCUCCACGGCACGCCCAGCCGCCACCGUUCUCGCCGCCGUUCUCCGCGGCACGCCCAGCUGCGCCGGUGUGCGUCCCCAGGAACGCCGGUUCCCUGAGCCGGCCAGCUCCCCUCUCCCUCAGUUAGUUCCUAGCUCUCCCCCAGCCCCCUGUGACAGAUAGAACCCUGAGGGAUACCAAGAACAUCAACAGUUGCCUUCUCUGACUGAGAUGCUUUGUCUCUCAGAUACAUGUGAGCCUGGACUGUUGGAGGAGGCUGUGUGACUCUGGCUUUCAUGGUGGACCUGCUGCAGACUUUGAAUGCGUACAGAGGACAUGCACACGAUUCCAUUCAUCUAUGAGCGGCGAUACAGCAGCAGAGUACAGCAGCUAGUUACAGAUUAGGCUGUAGCGGCUUCGGAGUGCCAAACGCUAUAGAAUAGCCUGCAGCUGGAGUUUGAUGCCCUUCCGUUCCAAGUGCAGUGGGCGGGCAUAGCACUGGAUUUUUGGAGAAUCUGGAACUUUCAACUGUUUUUGGGCAGCGUCACUGGAAAGCAUGUACAAAUCAAAACGUAAUUUUGAGAGGGGUUGGAGGUUUCAUUUUGCACCCUGUUAAUCCUGAAAAAUGAAAUGUAGCCACUAUACCAAACUUAGAAGGAGCUGUUAGAUAGAAGGACAAUAAACAAACUGAACUGC
ensembl:lncRNA